rnacentral:rRNA from 1 species
UACGUAGGUGGCAAGCGUUGUCCGGAUUUACUGGGCGUAAAGGGCUUGUAGGCGGUUCGUUAAGUCCGGUGUGAAAUCUCCCGGCUCAACCGGGAGCGGCCAUCGGAUACUGGCGAGCUAGAGGUGGGCAGAGGAAGGCGGAAUUCCCGGUGUAGCGGUGAAAUGCGUAGAUAUCUGGAGGAACACCGGUGGCGAAGGCGGCAUCCUGGACCGAGAUUGACGCUGAGGCGCGAAAGCCAGGGGAGCAAACGGG